CAAACAGACAGACAGACAGACAGGCAAAAGUCUCGUUCCGUGCAAAGUCCACACAGAAAAUCUUUGGUGUGUGUUUUUUUUUUCUCUUUGUUUAAUUUGCGUUUUGCAAAAAUUGUUAUCAAAUUAUUUCUGAAUCAUACUUUCAGUGUAUUUGAUUUUCUUCGAUUCUUCGAGGGUGUACCACUAUAUUUUUGCAGCUGCAAUCGAAAGGAGCUUGGGCAAUAAAUCAAAUAAAAUAUCAGCAAGAGAGUAAACAACAUUUUUCCGGUGAAGAAAGUGAGCGAGAGAGAGGGAGUAUGGAGUGGGGAGUGGGGAGGCGUGAGGCUCAUGGACUUGUUGUACCUUCUUUAAUUUCAACAUCGAGCGAUAUCGCUGCUACUGCGUUAUCUGGCGAUUGGUUAUGCAAGUCUUUCUGUGUCUCUGGUUCUGACAGACAGAGUCUGUUCGAAUCGCUGGAGCGAAGAAUUCAAUUAAAUGAGAUUGUUUAUGGAAAUGCUUACGACAAAGCAAGCUUACGUGAUACAAAAUGGAAAUUGAUUUUUUUGACAGAUUUGACAGGUUCGACAGGUUAUGGAGGAGCUGUGUCUGCAAAUGAAGGGGGGCCCUAGAUCACUUCCUCAAUAAGGAACUCUCUUCAACAAUGUAUUUAAUCUUUAUCCGCUCCAAUAUUGAUGUCCAACAAUGGUACACAUAAUUAUGGUUUAAUCGGGUCUCCUCUUGUGUGCUGUCUGUGUCGACGACCUCCAAGCGAAUUGAAUACCAAAUUAUCUGUGUAUCUGUAUCUAUUGUAUAUAUAUUUACAUAUCUACAUAUAUACAUGUCACGUGCCUGCUAAUGGCUUUUGGUGCCUCUUGAGGAUGGUGGUCCUCGGGUCUCUCGGAAUCUCUCUGUUUGCCAUGAAUAGUAUAACGAAAUAUGUUGCCAGUUUGCUCUUUAUCUUUAUCUUUGCCCGAAGCUUUGCAGACAGACAGACGACGGGCGGCGGCUUUCUUUGUCUUAUAUUUCCACCAAAGAUAAGGUGCCUCAACCCACACCAGACAUUUUGGCCAUAUCUCGACAUAUAUACAAUAUAUACAUAAAUAUACUCGAAUAUAUUAAAUUUUGAUCAUAUAAAUC